rnacentral:rRNA from 1 species
CAAUAGCGUAUACUAAUGUUGUUGCAGUUAAAAAGCUCGUAGUUGAACUUCUGGUAGGAGUGUCCCGGCCUUUUUGUUUUUACAAAUUGUAUGCUGUGUGACAUCUCUGGCCAUCCUUCUUCUUUGUUUAAAGAAGAUCUUUUACUGUAAAAAAAUUAGGGUGUUCAAAGCAAAAGUUUCUUUGGAAUAUAUUAGUAUGGGAUGAUAAGAUAGGCUCUAGAUGCUAUUUUGUUGGUUUGCACAUUUAGAGAAUGAUUAACAGGGACAGUUGGGGGUAUUCGUAUUUACAUGUCAGAGGUGAAAUUCUUGGAUUUUGGAAAGACGAACUACUGCGAAAGCAUUUACCAAGGAUGUUUUCAUUAA